rnacentral:rRNA from 1 species
CACGUAGGGUGCGAGCGUUGUCCGGAAUUAUUGGGCGUAAAGAGCUCGUAGGCGGUGUGUCGCGUCGGCCGUGAAAACCUGCAGCUUAACUGUGGGCUUGCGGUCGAUACGGGCAUCACUGGAGUUCGGGCAGGGGAGACUGGAAUUCCUGGUGUAGCGGUGAAAUGCGCAGAUAUCAGGAGGAAUACCGGUGGCGAAAGGC